GCCCAGACUCCUACGGGAGGCAGCAGUGAGGAAUAUUGGUCAAUGGCCGGAAGGCUGAACCAGCCAAGUCGCGUGAGGGACGACUGCCCUAUGGGUUGUAAACCUCUUUUAUAAGGGAAGAAUAAAUGCUACGUGUAGCAUGAUGCCUGUACCUUAUGAAUAAGCAUCGGCUAACUACGUGCCAGCAGCCGCGGUAAUACGUAGGUGGCAAGCGUUAUCCGGAUUUACUGGGUGUAAAGGGCGUGUAGGCGGGGACGCAAGUCAGAUGUGAAAACCACGGGCUCAACCUGUGGCCUGCAUUUGAAACUGUGUUUCUUGAGUACUGGAGAGGCAGACGGAAUUCCUAGUGUAGCGGUGAAAUGCGUAGAUAUUAGGAGGAACACCAGUGGCGAAGGCGGUCUGCUGGACAGCAACUGACGCUGAGGCGCGAAAGCGUGGGGAGCAAACAGGAUUAGAUACCCCGGUA
rnacentral:rRNA from 1 species